rnacentral:rRNA from 1 species
GGAGCUUGCUCUUCUGGAUGAGUUGCGAACGGGUGAGUAACGCGUAGGUAACCUGCCUGGUAGCGGGGGAUAACUAUUGGAAACGAUAGCUAAUACCGCAUAAUAGUAGAUGUUGCAUGACAUUUGCUUAAAAGGUGCAAUUGCAUCACUACCAGAUGGACCUGCGUUGUAUUAGCUAGUUGGUGGGGUAACGGCUCACCAAGGCGACGAUACAUAGCCGACCUGAGAGGGUGAUCGGCCACACUGGGACUGAGACACGGCCCAGACUCCUACGGGAGGCAGCAGUAGGGAAUCUUCGGCAAUGGACGGAAGUCUGACCGAGCAACGCCGCGUGAGUGAAGAAGGUUUUCGGAUCGUAAAGCUCUGUUGUAAGAGAAGAACGAGUGUGAGAGUGGAAAGUUCACACUGUGACGGUAUCUUACCAGAAAGGGACGGCUAACUACGUGCCAGCAGCCGCGGUAAUACGUAGGUCCCGAGCGUUGUCCGGAUUUAUUGGGCGUAAAGCGAGCGCAGGCGGUUAGAUAAGUCUGAAGUUAAAGGCUGUGGCUUAACCAUAGUACGCUUUGGAAACUGUUUAACUUGAGUGCAAGAGGGGAGAGUGGAAUUCCAUGUGUAGCGGUGAAAUGCGUAGAUAUAUGGAGGAACACCGGUGGCGAAAGCGGCUCUCUGGC